rnacentral:lncRNA from 1 species
UCGUCUUAUUCUUAUUCGAUCAAUUCCAAUCCCCCAUAUCUGAUACCCCAAGCAGAUGCUCGUCUCUACCCAUCGAUUUUUAUUUCUACCACUGUACUACUGAUAAGUCACGGUCCGGCGAACUACCACUGCACCACCAGAUGACCUAUCAUAACCGCUCGAUCGGAUCCUUGUUUCUUGACUCCUCGCUUCAGUUCUCACUUCAACCCUAAGCAGGUUGAGAGCACUUCCAACAGUGUAGCCAAGAGACAUUGAUGACACUCGAUCACAGUUCAACUGUUCAAGAGCUUAAAUCUCCUAAGAGACCACACGACAAGGGUACAAGUUCAGCUUUUUGGCUCAGCUCAGGGCACACAUAAUCCUUUUUGCACGCUUGCUGAUACGGAUGUCAAGGCUGAUGUAGCCAAAGCUCUUGUUGUUGUUGCUUAGUGUGUUUUCACCUCUUAGUUUAGUUGAUAUAUAAUAAUUUGUACUGUUGCUUAGUGUGUUCUCGCCUCUUAGCUUAGUUGAUAUAAAAUAACUUGUACCGUGAAUACAGAGAAACGACGACCCAAACAAGGAAUUACUUAGCUUAACCAAAGUGUUUGAAUGUACAUGGAAAAGGAACGAAGGACGUUCAUAUCUUGAUACAUAUGACGAUACGGCAACGAAAAUUCCAUAAUAUUUGACUUCUCCAAAAACACUAGGCUACUCUUCCAGUCUUUUUAAGGUGAAUCAAUGUAGAAAUUGAAGAUGAUCAUCAAAGGAAAAAAGCUGAGAUAGAAGCUAUGAAGAAAGAUUUUCACAGCCAACAAGCACAUUUGGAAUCUAGGAUACAAAGUAUUUUGAAAAAGCUACCCGUUGAUGUACUUCAAGAUCUUCAAGAUGAGUAGAAAGUUUUUGUUGCUUUUUAUCAUUGUAAUCGACAAAUUUGUUUUCAUUACGUUGUUUUUUAGUUUGGACAUAUGUUAAACUACUAUAUAAGAUAUUAACGUUAUUGUUACAUUGGUGGAAUUAUCUAAUAGAAAAUUUAGUAUUU